AAAUAUACACUGUAAAAUUUUUCCAGGAUUUCACAAGAUAUAACUGUAAUAUUUCACAGUUAAUUACAUUAUUACCACUUCACAGGCUUUAACUGUGAUAAUUCACAAUAUAAUACCGUAUUUAGACUUUUACUGUGAAAAUAAUGCAGGCGCGGGGCUUUUACAAGAAACUACUGUGAAUGCCGUCUUUUUUGAGUGGCAACUGCGGCAGCGUCAUCAGAGCGUCAUCAGAGCUCUCUGAUCUACGUGGUCUCAUUCGGUGGAUUCAGACAGCGCAUUUUCUACAUUGACCAACGAUAAAUAAAGUUAUAAGGUGCUUCUUGGGCAUCAACCCAGAGACGGGCACAAAAUCUAAGAGGCAGAGAGGUCACAUGAACCAGCAAGUCUGCACUCUUAUCAGGAAGCUCAUUGACUUCGAAUGGAUGUCAAUCUAAUUGGAUAGAACCCACACUAUGCAGGUUCCAGCUGCGAGGGAAGGAGAGAGACACCUGCGACCCUCUCUAUUCCCACCUUUUUGUCUUUUCUUACAUCUCUCUCCCUCACUCUCUCUUCUCUGUCUCCUUUCUCUUUUGACACACAUUCCUGUUACCCAGUGUCAAUCCCUGUUGCCCAGUGUUUUAUUCAUGUAAUUAAAUUGUAUUUUACUUCUAAAAAAUAAAAGUUAUGUCACUGUUUUUA